AAAGGACUUCCUGGUUAGUAGCGUAGGAUACCGGUAGCUUUGUGUGCGUGUAGGUGAAACCGCUGGCUCAACAGUGCGGUUGGUGUUUGCUUUGGAAACUCUCAUGCAUUACGUCCAGUGGACCGCAACGCGAGAAACUUGUUGGUGUCAGGUAGGCUAUCAUGCUCAACAUACUAUUACGGCCUCUCUGCUUCGUCACAUAUCUAACGUUGUUGUCUGCUUUAGUUUGCUAUCAGCAGUAGAGUGGUGAGUGCGUUGUCUCCUCGUACCUGAAAGUGGAGCAUAGGAUCGCCAGCUUUGAGCUUUUGUGGUGCUUUACAGAUUGGCCUAUAUGCUGGCUAUACUCAUCGGCUGUUCCCACAUCCUAAGAGACUGCUGCUUUGUCUCCUUUUAGUGUUUGUCUUGUCAUUAUUACUUUAGUAAUGUCAUGUCCAAUUAUUAGGAUAUUUGUUUAGUCUGUGAUCUUUCUAGCCACUGGCUCUGGCUGGUGCUAGGACUUUUGUUCUGUUUGUUCCAAUGCAUGCUUGGGCUACGCAGUGCUGUG